UGCGACUUUAUCAACCGCCACCGCGGGCGACUACGACGCGACACGAUCGAGUUCCCGACCAAAGCCCCAGGGCUAGGCGGGACGGGAAGAGACGAGUACCGGCCGCCGGCGGUCGGUGUCGCCUUGACCGUCAAGGCGUCGACCGGAACGGGCCCGUUCGUUUUUCGUCGUCGACGCGAUUCGCACGGUCCAACGACCGUUGUUCUCGGCCUUCGUCGUUUUUUUUUCUCUCGUGUCAAUAUAAUUUUCAUUGUACUACCUUGUACAGUUUUCAUCGUGUACGAAGUGUACGCGACACUUAGAAGUGUCUAAAUUGUGUUUACAUAAUAUUCUCGUCAUCUCCCGCGGGUGUGAUACGCGCCAUCACGUCGACGAACCCAGACCACCGGUGAACCACGGACACCCCAACGGCAAUGCACCGCCGUCGUCACCGUGUCAAAAUUGGCUGUCCGCAGAGGAAUCUCCUCUAAACAGCACCGAGACUUCGUAAAGUAGGUAUACGAUCACUAUCUACCUCCAAAAAUUCACAACAUUUUUGACAAGACAAACUUUAAUUGAAAUUUUGGACAUUUAAUAAUUUUUGGCAAUCAGUUAAAAGUACUAGGUCAAUCGAAAAAAUUGUUGGCUCUAACGAUUCCAGCAGCCAACUAAUGCACUGGAUUAAAUGGCAAGGCAUAGAAGAAUGUGAUUAUAUCGAGGCUGAUUGCUGAAGAGGUGUAUUCAAUGUGCCCCCAAUUUUUUCUCGAGUUUUUUGAAAAAUAAUUAUUUUUGGAAUAAUGCUUUUAGAGGUUAUUUAUGUAUAAGUACCUAAAUAUAUGAUAUUAUGUUAUGGACAAAAUAUGGUGUAUAAAUAUAUAUUUUAAUGAAAAAUUUAAACGCAUCAUAUACUCGUAAUGGAAAGAAACCAAGACCCGGUAUAAUUUUUUUACCUAUUAAUAUUAAUUUUUUACCUAGGUAUUAUAAUGUUAUAUUUAUAACGCAUAUAAAUACUAAAUAGUGUAUUAUACAAUAAACAUAAUACUAAGUCAUACAACUUACAAGUGCAUGAGAACUAUGUUUAUUUUCAGUGUAAGCGCAAGUAUCGAUAAGGUAAUCGACUUUCAAAAAAUAAUACAUAAUAUACCUAAUUGGUAAAAUAAUUUAACAUGUAAUAUAUAAAAUUUGAAAAUCACUUCACUAAAAUACAUAGGUAAUUCCCACAAAUUGAUGACAUCGAUGGUUUUUGAUUUUUGAAAAAUAUUAUUUUCGAGCCAUUUCACCAACCACCCUCGCCCAUAAUAAUAUUGUUAUAAUAUUAGCAACAAUAUAAAAAUAUGUUUCCAACAGCACUAAAAAUUUUCUCAAUAGCGCAAUAUUCUCCAGAAUCUGAAACGGUCAGAUUAAUUGUUCGACCCCAGUGAUACGUAUUUCGUUAGAAAUCAUUAAUACAAUUAAUUUAUAAUGUAGGUUCUUCGCAGUACACAAUAUAUAAUAUAUAUAAAAUAAAAUAGGUGUAUCGUACUGAUUAUUAUCGUACAAUAUACACAUACGCACCGGCCUCCUGUAGAUUUCCUGCCUAGAGCGAAAAUGUCUAAAAGAUAAACAUGUGUUGCCGCCCGAAAUGCAACAUCAUUAUUGUUAGUUCCAUAAUACAUUAUACAUCCCGCCGCCGACCGAUACACACACACACACACACACAUUUUAUUGUUCAUUUAUAUUAUUGUUUAAAUUUGCAUUUGUGAACUAUAUAAUAUAGUAAGAUUACGCGCGAGGAAGCGCAAUCAGCCGCAUUUUUAUGUCUUUCUGUCCGUCUGCGUCGGCCGUGUAACAUUGUUAUUAUAAGAUUUAGUCUUUUUUCCAGCGUUGAUCCAUAACACAAAAGUUCGUGCGCUAAUCGCCACGUUUUUACAAUUGAUUUGCAAAGUAUAAGUUCGUGGGUGCGAAUCGCCAUUUUUUUUAUAUCUUGUAUAUAAUAUAUUGUAUUUAAACAAUAAAAAUAUAUAAAAAUCAUGUGCGGAGUUAGGGUUGAAGUGAUAUAUUAUAAAAUUGUCACAAUGUAUUCACAGUUGUGGUGCACCAAAUAUUUUAGUUCUUAAUUUCGAAUUAUUAUUAUAUUUUGAUGACAUUCGAAUUAAACAGGUACAAUUUUUAUUUCAGAUAGCUGUAGAGUGUAGACGUGGUCUCGUGUUUUGGUGGCAAAAACGUCUCUUCGAAUAUACGUAAUUCCAAUAUUAUGUUUAUUAUAGUUUAUUCUUUUAUUUUGAUUGUAAGCGUAGGCUUGAUCUUGCAGGUGGUCUGUGGGCAGGUAUGACAGUACCUAAGCCAUAUAAAUCGCUUAGGACACAAAAAGGACGGAAACGCUUGUCAUACGUGUACGAUUUAGGUCACAGCUCAGCUCUAAAAACGAAAUCGGACCACUAAAUUACGCAUCCUGUAAUGUAGAAUUACAAUACGUUUCUUUAAGUCAAGAAACAGCACUGCAGUAUUUCCUGCUCUUUAUAUUUUUACGGAUUAUAUAUUAUUUUAUAUAUUCUACAAUGUCGUACACACGUGUAAAAUACUACAAUAAUAUCGUCUUGUACCUUAACAUAAUGCGUAUAUGUUGACCGUCUGCUGUGGCCUUUGACAAUGGUUUAUAUUUGUUUAUAAUGCAUGUACCUAUAAGUACCUUGAUACCUAACGUACACCGGAAGGUACAACCGAACACGUAUACCCUUCGGACAAUGGGACAUAUGUUAUCGUCGCCGCAAACACGACUACUGUCUUUUUAUCUUUACGCUUACGGCUAUACGAAAAAAACACACACACAUCACCUUUGCGCUCAAAAACAUUUAAAACUGUUGGCUUAAAUUAUUUACGGCUUUAUAAAUACACCCAUAUGAUUUUAUAACAUAUACGAUACACCUAAUAGUCCAAAUAUAAUGUGCAUACUUCGUUCAUAUUUUAUAACAUGAUAUUAUAUGGGUACUAAGUUUUGGUAGUGUUAGUA